UACAGAGGUCUCAAGCGUUGUUCGGAUUCAUUGGGCGUAAAGGGUGCGUAGGCGGCGCGGUAAGUCGGGUGUGAAAUCUCGGGGCUUAACUCCGAAACUGCAUUCGAUACUGCCGUGCUUGAGGACUGGAAAGGAGACUGGAAUUUACGGUGUAGCGGUGAAAUGCGUAGAUAUCGUAAGGAAGACCAGUGGCGAAGGCGGGUCUCUGGACAGUUCCUGACGCUGAGGCACGGAAGGUCAGGGGAGCAAACGGG
rnacentral:rRNA from 1 species